AAAACAGUACGAAGAGGGACAACGCGGCUCCCUCUCUGAGGGAGAAGCUGCCUCUUCUUUACGAGCACACACAAGUCCGUCGUGGCUACGUGUGAGCGUCCGGGGUAUAUCGUGUCAAGCGUUCACGAAGUGUGCCUAGUACGGCGAAGUUCGAUACUCUUGUAGUGGGAUGUAGCUGUUUUAGUGCACUUAAGCUCUCGUGAUUCAGCGGCGGUAUAUGUCUCGCGGCCAACUUGCGCGUAGACAAACGUUGUUUCUUCUUAGAGGCAUUUACGACUCUACACAAGUCGUACGAGACAGAGAGCAAUAACAGGUCUGUGAUGCCCUUAGAUGCCCUGGGCCGCACGCGAGCUACAAUGCCGGGUACAGCGGGUGUUACCUUCCUUCUCCGACAGGAGUAGGUAACCCUCUGAAAUCCCUUCUGGUAUACGUGUGUGUAUAACGCGCGCGAAUAUCUUGGCUCGA
rnacentral:rRNA from 1 species